GACGAACGCUGGCGGCGUGCUUAACACAUGCAAGUCGAACGAUGAAGCCGGAGCUUGCUCUGGUGAAUUAGUGGCGAACGGGUGAGUAACACGUGAGUAACCUGCCCUUGACUCUGGGAUAACUGCUAGAAAUGGUAGCUAAUACCGGAUACGACCCUCGGAGGCAUCUCCAGGGGGUGGAAAGAAUUUCGGUCAAGGAUGGACUCGCGGCCUAUCAGCUAGUUGGUGAGGUAACGGCUCACCAAGGCGACGACGGGUAGCCGGCCUGAGAGGGUGACCGGCCACGCUGGGACUGGGACACGGCCCAGACUCCUACGGGAGGCAGCGGUGGGGAAUAUUGCACAAUGGGCGCAAGCCUGAUGCAGCAACGCCGCGUGAGGGAUGACGGCCUUCGGGUUGUAAACCUCUUUUAGUAGGGAAGAAGCGAAAGUGACGGUACCUGCAGAAAAAGCACCGGCUAACUACGUGCCAGCCGCCGCCGUAA
rnacentral:rRNA from 1 species